rnacentral:rRNA from 1 species
UACGUAGGGACCAAGCGUUGUUCGGAUUUACUGGGCGUAAAGGGCGCGUAGGCGGCAAUUCAAGUCAGCUGUGAAAUCUCCGGGCUUAACUCGGAACGGCCAAGUGAAACUGUCAUGCUAGAGUGCAGAAGGGGCAAUCGGAAUUCUUGGUGUAGCGGUGAAAUGCGUAGAUAUCAAGAGGAACACCUGAGGUGAAGACGGGUUGCUGGGCUGACACUGACGCUGAGGCGCGAAAGCCAGGGGAGCAAACGGG